CUCGGCCAAUCGAGGGAGAGGAGCGGCAGCCGCGCGCGGACGCGCGCCAAUCGGCGGCUCCCGCGUCUGAGCCAAUGGGCGCGCCCGGCGGCGGCGCGCGUUGUGUAACGCCGGCGGCUGGAGCUGCUGCGGGCGGCGCUGUCGCCGGCGGCGACACGGCCGGGGCGGGACGCGCUGCGUGACGGCAGAGGGUUUGAAAUCCUCCAUAUCACAGGAAGACUGGCAGACUGGAGGUAUCCAGUGGAAGGACACUGAGGGAGCUGCUGGAGCUCAUGGUAUGCAAGGAGCAUAGGCUGCCCAGAAGCUGUGAGACCUCCAGCCUUGAAGAUAUUAAAAUCCUGAUAAGACAAAAUCACGUGAAGUGGAAGCAUUGGGUUUUGCUCUUUGAAGGCAAAUCAUCAUCAAACCAGUCCAAUGCUGGAUACUACUGGCCAAACUUAGGAAGAGACACAUCAUUCCUCAGCAACUGCUUCAGCAAAGUAGCUGUGCUAUGUGGAGGAUCUUCUACUGAAUUUGGUAGCUUCAUCUUGGUUGAGAGUUGAAAUUAUGUUCUUUUUUUUUCCCUUUUUUUUCUUUCUCCCCCUGCCUCUUCCCUUCUUUUUCACUAGAAGUUUUCCAAAAUGGCAAAUCCAAUCAGAGUUAGAAGCUCAUUAACCAUACAACUAAUAGCCAUGCUGUGAGACUUUAAAGACCCACAAGUUAUUAUAAAAGAACAUGUUUAUCAAAGUGUGCCCUGAUGUUGGCUGGGGAGCCAACUGUAGCCCGCUAACAAAGGGGGCAAGGUUUUCACUAGGCUGUGGAGGUGCCUGCAACAUGGAAAAAAGUUGAUUCUGGGAUGUAGGAUAUACAGAUAUAAAUCAGUGCUGUGCCAGGCACACCUGCCUGGUGGAACAGCAGAUUGCCAAGCUUAGCUGACACAUGAUGACAAAGCAGCAUUGCCUGGCUCCACAUGGCCAAACCAGUGACUUGCACUUGCUCAGUGGCCAGGUUGCACUUGUGACCAAAGGUGCUAGUGAUGCUAAUGGGGCAUAUAUCACAUAUAAAGAGCCCAAAGUGGAAGAAGUACAUAUAACUGCAGGAGGGGAGGAAGGCCAGGGUGCAUAGGAUUUAUGCAGAGUGGGAGGAAGUGAGCUCUGGAAGGCAUCUGGUCCAACCCCGCUGCUCAAGCAGGACCACCUAGAGCUGGUUUCUCAGGUUUUGAACAUGUCCAGGGUGGGGGUACUCCACAGCCUCUCUGGGUAACCUGUACCUGUUAUCAGUCUCCCUCACAGAGAAAAAGUGUUUCCUGAUGUUCAGAGGGAAGCUCCUUUGUUUCAGUUUGUGCUCAUUGCCUCUAAUAUUGUCACUGGGCACCACUGGGCAGAGCCUGGCUCCAUCCUCCUUGCACAGGCCUCUCAGGUGUUUAUGUACAUUGAUGUGAUUCCCCCUGAUUCUCCAGGCUGAACAGUCUCAGUUCUCUUGGCCUUUCCUCAUAGGAGAGAUGCCUCAAUCACUUCACCACCUUCAUGGCCCUUCACUGGACUGUCUGCAGUGUCUCUCUUUGACUGAGGAAUCCAGAGCUGGAUAUAGUGCUCCAGUUUUGUGUCAUCUUCAAAGUUACAGGCUACACUCUGCCCCAUCAUCCAGAUCACUACUCAAGAACAGGAAUGAACCCAGUAUUAAGCUCUGGGGUACACUGUAUGUCAUUGGCAUCCAACUAGACUUCAUACUACUGAUCACCGCCUUCUGGGUCCAGCUGUUCAGCCAGUUUUCACUCCUCUGCUCAUUGAGCCCUCACUUUAUCAGCAUGUUUAUGAGGGUUUUAAGGGAAACAGUGGCACAGCCACACUGAAGGCAUGGUAGACAAUACUCGCUUGCAUCCUGUCAUCUACCAAGCCAAGCAUUUCAUUACAGCUGCACUCAAUUAUCUUAAUGUUUUUUUCUCAAACUAAAUGAUUCUACUGUUGUAUGACUGUGGGAGGUCAUCAGGGCAGUCAAGAGUGACUUUCCUUUGUGAUUGAAACACUAAGAUGGCUGAGGAGCAGGGUUUUCCUGGUUUGAGGCAUUGUAGGAGGUGCAGCACCCCUACACAGGGCUAGGAUGGCUCUUGGGUACACAGAGAUUUUGACGUGCAACCCAUAGCCUGAUGAGAUACAUUUGUUUAUAAGCUGAUGGAUACCUUGAAGAUCUGGUUUUAAGUUAUGCUGCUAAUUGUCAUCUAUAAAACACAUUGCACAUCUGGGGUCAUUGUCACUUGCUUGGUUUUUUUUGUGAUUAUUCUGAGUGGUUACUUGAUCAGCUGAUCUUUCUGAAGCCAGGGCCGUAGCACACUAUCAAAUUUACCAUGAGCUUUUGGCUAAAUCAAUGGGGAAUUUUACCUAAAAAAUCUAUGUCAAGGAAGGACCUGCAUUUUAUCUUUUUAAAUGCUUUGAGGAAAAUGCUUGGUGUGGUAAUGCCACUUAAAAUCUGCCAUUGAUGAUCAAUGGCUUGAUAAAAUAAACAGAUGUUUUAUAUCUGGA